GGUUGGUCCGAGUCCAUGGUGUUUACAACUAAUUGAUCACAACCAGUUACAGAUUCCUUUGUUCCUUCUCCACUCCCACUGCUCCACUUGACCAGCCUAAA
rnacentral:Y_RNA from 1 species